AUUGAACGCUGGCGGCAUGCCUUACACAUGCAAGUCGAACGGCAGCACGGGAGCAAUCCUGGUGGCGAGUGGCGAACGGGUGAGUAAUAUAUCGGAACGUGCCCAGUCGUGGGGGAUAACGUAGCGAAAGCUACGCUAAUACCGCAUACGAUCUAUGGAUGAAAGCGGGGGAUCGCAAGACCUCGCGCGAUUGGAGCGGCCGAUAUCAGAUUAGGUAGUUGGUGAGGUAAAGGCUCGCCAAGCCGACGAUCUGUAGCUGGUCUGAGAGGACGGACCAGCCACACUGGGACUGAGACACGGCCCAGACUCCUACGGGAGGCAGCAGUGGGGAAUUUUU
rnacentral:rRNA from 1 species